GAUGAACGCUGGCGGCGUGCCUAAUACAUGCAAGUCGAGCGAACAGACGAGGAGCUUGCUCCUCUGACGUUAGCGGCGGACGGGUGAGUAACACGUGGAUAACCUACCUAUAAGACUGGGAUAACUUCGGGAAACCGGAGCUAAUACCGGAUAAUAUAUUGAACCGCAUGGUUCAAUAGUGAAAGACGGUUUUGCUGUCACUUAUAGAUGGAUCCGCGCCGCAUUAGCUAGUUGGUAAGGUAACGGCUUACCAAGGCAACGAUGCGUAGCCGACCUGAGAGGGUGAUCGGCCACACUGGAACUGAGACACGGUCCAGACUCCUACGGGAGGCAGCAGUAGGGAAUCUUCCGCAAUGGGCGAAAGCAUGACGGAGCAAAGCCGCGUGAGUGAUGAAGGUCUUCGGAUCGUAAAACUCUGUUAUUAGGGAAGAACAAAUGUGUAAGUAACUAUGCACGUCUUGACGGUACCUAAUCAGAAAGCCACGGCUAACUACGUG
rnacentral:rRNA from 1 species